AGGUGAAAAGCACUUCGAACAGAAGAGUGAAAUAGUCCCUGAACCCAUACGCCUACAAGCUGUCGGAGCCGCUUCGUGCGGUGACGGCGUGCCUUUUGCAUAAUGAGCCUACGAGUUACUCAUCACCAGCGAGGUUAAGUACUUCAGGUACGUAAGCCGAAGCGAAAGCGAGUCUGAAUAGGGCGUCAAGUUGGUGGUGGUAGACGCGAAACCUUAGUGAUCUACCCAUGGGCAGGGUGAAGGUUUGGUAACACAAACUGGAGGCCCGAACCGGUAAACGUUGAAAAGUUUUCGGAUGACCUGUGGGUAGGGGUGAAAGGCCAAUCAAACUGGGAAAUAGCUCGUACUCUCCGAAAUGCAUUUAGGUGCAGCCUCUGUUGUUUUGUUCUAGAGGUAGAGCUACUGAUUGGAUGCGAGGGCUUCACCGCCUAUCAAAUCCGGCCAAACUCCGAAUGCUAGAACAUGAAGACAGGGAGUGAGCCAGCGGGUGCUAAGGUCCGUUGACGAAAGAGGGAGAACUCAGACCAUCAGCUAAGGUCCCCAAUUAUAUGCUAAGUUGGAAUAAAAACGGGGUGGGACUGCUUAGACAGCUAGGAUGUUGGCUUGGAAGCAGCCAUUCAUUUAAAGAGUGCGUAACAGCUCACUAGUCGAGCGGUCCUGCAUGGAUAAUACGCGGGCAUAAGCAUAUAACCGAAGCUAUGGGAUUGUAGAUGAUACAAUCGGUAGGAGAGCAUUCCAUUCAGCGUAGAAGCAGUAUCGUGAGGUAUUGUGGAGCGGAUGGAAAAGCAAAUGUAGGCAUAAGUAACGAUAAUGCGGGUGAGAACCCCGCACGCCGAAAGAUCAAGGAUUCCCCGGCAAUGUCAAUCAUCCGGGGGUAAGUCGGAUCCUAAGGGUAAGCCGAGUGGCGAUCCCGAUGGCAAACAGGUUAAUAUUCCUGUACUGAUCAUAACUGCGAUGCAGCGACGCAGAGGUGACACUGCUGCGUACUGACGGAAUAGUACGUUGAAACCCGUAUUCUUUGAUACCGGUAGUGAAGCACGCCGGUAGAGAUGAAAGGUGAUAGUACCGCAAUGCUUCGGUUGCGCGGAUAAUGCAGGUAAGCUGACUGCCAAGAAAACCUGCUAAGCUUCAGGUAAUGAUCAUCCGUACUGUAAACGGACACACGUGAUCAGGUAGAAAAUACUAAGGCGCUCGAGAGAUUCAUGGUUAAGGAACUAGGCAAAAUGGUCCUGUAACUUCGGGAUAAAGGACGCUCUUGUGAAAGAGCCGCAGAUAAUAGGCCCAGGCGACUGUUUACCAAAAACACAUGGCUAUGCUAAUUCGCAAGAAGAUGUAUAUGGCCUGACACCUGCCCGGUGCCGGAAGGUUAAGAGGAGAGCUCAGAGGCAACUCGAAGGUUUGAAUUGAAGCCCCGGUAAACGGCGGCCGUAACUAUAACGGUCCUAAGGUAGCGAAAUUCCUUGUCGGGUAAGUUCCGACCUGCACGAAUGGUGUAACGAUCUGGGUACUGUCUCAACCAUGAGCUCGGUGAAAUUGUAGUUCCGGUGAAGAUGCCGGAUACCCGCAACGGGACGGAAAGACCCCGUGAACCUUUACUGCAGCUUUGCAUUGAUUUUGGGUAACAGAUGUGUAGGAUAGGUCGGAGGCUUUGAUGCUGCGUCGUCAGGCGUAGAGUAGCCGUCGUUGAAAUACGACCCUUUUGUUAUCUGAGGUCUAAUCCCGUUAGGGAGACAUUGCAUGGUGGGUAGUUUGACUGGGGUGGUCGCCUCCAAAAGUGUAACGGAGGCUUCUCAAGGUACCCUCAAGGCGUUUGGUAAUCGUCUGCAGAGUGCAAUGGCAUAAGGGUGCUUGACUGUGAGACCGACACGUCGAUCAGGUUGGAAACAAGAGCAUAGUGAUCCGGUGGUUCCGCAUGGAAGGGCCAUCGCU
rnacentral:rRNA from 1 species